rnacentral:pre_miRNA from 1 species
CUCUAAAGGUUGCAAUCACUGCAUUUGCCCCAUCAUCAUUCAUUUUUUUUUGGUAAAUGAAAAAAAAAAUGAAUGAUGAUGGGGCAAAUGCAGUGAUUGCAGCCUUUAGAG